rnacentral:rRNA from 1 species
UACGGUUACCUUGUUACGACUUCGUAACUGACGCUGAGGUGCGAAAGCGUGGGUAGCAAACAGGAUUAGAUACCCUGGUAGUCCACGCCGUAAACGAUGAGAACUAGCCGUUGGAUCCUUGAGGUUCAGUGGCACAGCUAACGCAUUAAGUUCUCCGCCUGGGGAGUACGGCCGCAAGGCUAAAACUCAAAUGAAUUGACGGGGGCCCGCACAAGCGGUGGAGCAUGUGGUUUAAUUCGAUGCAACGCGAAAAACCUUACCAACCCUUGACAUCCAGAGAAUUUUCUAGAGAUAGAUUUGUGCCUUCGGGAACUCUGUGACAGGUGUUGCAUGGCUGUCGUCAGCUCGUGUCGUGAGAUGUAUGGUUAAGUCCAGUAACGAGCGCAACCCUUAUCCUUAUUUGCCAGCACUUUGGGUGGGAACUAUAAGGAGACUGCCGUGAAUAACACGGAGGAAGGCGGGGACGACGUCAAGUCAUCAUGGCCCUUACGGGUUGGGCUACACACGUGCUACAAUGGGAGAUACAGAUGGUUGCGAAAGCGCGAGCUGAAGCCAAUCCCACAAAGUCUUCCUUAGUCCGGAUUGGAGUCUGCAACUCGACUCCAUGAAGCAGGAAUCGCUAGUAAUCGCGAAUCAGAAUGUCGCGGUGAAUACGUUCUCGGGCCUUGUACACACCGCCCGUCACGUCAUGGGAGUGUGUUGCACCAGAAGUGGUUUGCCUAACCUUUGGAGGGCGGCCCCCCACGGUGUGAUACGCGACUGGG